rnacentral:misc_RNA from 1 species
AAUUCUCAACCCCCCUAUUUUGUAAUGAAAUGGGAGCUAGGGCUUGGAUUAUGGCUGCCUGCCGGACCUUUAAGUAGGACCAGCUCAGCUGAAAUACAUGAGCGGCGCACUUUGAAAUAAGGCGGCUUGACUCGGCGUAAUAGCUUAUUCGCUGAGGACGUCUAUUCAAAAACAGCGGCUUCUAACGCAGUAUUCCUUUGGGAUACCAUCUUAAGC